CCAGCUCACUACCACCCACAUUCCCAUAUGUACUAUCAUCAAAACCUAAAAGCAGAUCCUUUCCAUCUUCACGUUCCUGCUCUCAUUUCUCUCACCUCCUCCGAGUUCUCUUUCAUUUUGGAAGAAACCCUAAACUGCAAAAUCGUGUCAUUGUAGUAUGAAAAUUAGAUGCUAGAUCUGGAACAGAUUUGGGUUUGCAGAGAGAACAAACUCCCUUUGGAUCCUUCUGUUGUUGCUUCUGCUGUUGAUGCUGUUGAUUAUAUCUCAUCUGAAAAUCUUAAACCCGUUUCGGAUCCGGUUGUUAAGUUCAAGCGUCUAAUGGAAGGACUGGAGUCAAAGGACUGGCUAAAGAUUUGCGAUUCGUUGAACGAUGUGAGUCAAAGGACUGGCUAAAGAUUUGUGUCAGAAUGGGUCAUUCUAAGAUGGGAGUGCUUUCAGAGGCAGUUGCGGGAAAUGCUUCAUCAUAGUGAUGAUGUAAAGGGAAGUGAAAUAAGGAGCCAAGUGCCUCGCUUUUACGCUAUCCAAAACGAUUUAGUUUAUUAAAUAAAAAUGAUUUGGGAUGUUAUAUGCAUUAAAACACACUUUGCAUGACUUUUGACCAGUUUCCUUUUUUUUCGCUUAAGAAGAAGCAGGUCGAAUGCUUUCUUGCUUAAAAAGAAACAGGUCGAAUGCAUUUUCGAUUAAAAAGAACCGGGUCGGAUGCAUUUUUGCUUAAAAAGAAGCAGCUCGAAUGGCUGAAACAGGUUGAAUGCUUUAUUGCUAAAAAAGAAGCGGGUCGAAUGCUUUAUCGCUAAAAAAGAAGCGGGUCGAAUGCUUUUUCGCUUAAAAAGAAACGAGUCGAAUGCUUUACCGCUUAAAAAGAAGCACGUUUGCCUACUAGAAAUCGGCAUUUCUGAUCUAGAUGCACCUGGAAAGCCAUUUUACAAUACAAACGCUACUGGUACUCUUAUCGAAUAACUAAAAAGACUCAUCGAGACUACAUAUGAUAGGAGGCUGAGCUUAAACCUGGUGGAUUUUUUGUUUUGAAAGAAAACCUUGCAAGAUCGGAUGGGAAGAGUACCGGGGAUAUGGACGGGUAUGUCGGCUUUCAGGCUGUUUUAAGGCGAUCUUAAAAUUGUUUCGUAGCAGAUCUCGCAAAACAAUUCAUGCAACUCGUUCGGCACUACUUGGAUUCAGUCGCAAGCCCGUAUUCUCAAGUUUGCUAUGAGACCGAUCUCUCAUAUGGGCCAGGCCCAAACUCUACUUUCAGAUACCAUACAUCAGCUACUUCAGCAUACCUCGAGUUAUCAGAUCAAGAAAACAUACCUCCAGAAAAUAAUAAUAACAAUAGGAUCAGGAAACGACAUCGGGAAAGCUUUUAAAAGCCGCAGGAGAAGCUUCGAUGACGGUUCCUGAGACACCGUCACCUGAUCAACCGCGUGACGGAAGUUUUGUUAUAAAAAAGGAACAUGGAAACAUCAUUGAAGGUGGAGCGAGAUAAUGGCAUCAUAGGAUGCAUAACAAUAACAACCAAGUGUUGAGUAAUGUUAGUCAAAAUGGUUCGCAAGCAGGGUCAACUUAUAGUGAGAUAUGCUCAUUGGCUGCACAACAUUUAGGGCUUAUACGUGAAGUUUUAGUCGAACGAAGUGUAACUUCAGCUUUGAAUUCAGGUUUUCUAACCCCAUACUGUGAACGUCUUAUGGUAGCAUUGGGACUGGAAUUAUUUACUGUAAAUGAUGAGAAAUUUAUGGAUAUGUUUGUUGCUCCUGGAGCGAUUGACAUUCUUCAGAAUGAACAACAGUCUCUUCAUAAGUGUCAGAAGAUACUACACUCUUGUUUGACUGAAUUUAAGUCGGUCGCAAGAUCCCUUUGACUGAAUUAAGUCAGUGACAGUGAAGUGGAAGCCAAUUCACUUGAGUUAUACGAGGAACCGUUUACUGAAGCUGAUAGAUAUGAUUUAUGGUCUGCGUGCAAGUUGAGUACAUGCGUGUGUAUGUUUUUGUCAUAAGCUUUGCUAGAGGAAGCUGAUAGAUGUGAUUUAUGGUCUGCGUGCAAGUUGAGUACAUCAGAUUGCUCCCGGACACAACUCAAGAGACUUUACGGUCAUUGGUGUUGAUGUGUAAUUUUCCCUAACUUGAAUAUUUAUUCUUGUUUUUAAAGCAAAGUUAUAGAUGUUCUCAUUAAAGCUAACAAAUUUGCUUUAAAA